GUAGAAAGGUGGAAGGAGUUAAACCUCUCUUUAUGUGGUUAGAAGCCACAUAUUAGCUCGGCUACCUUUCCUA
rnacentral:tRNA from 1 species